rnacentral:rRNA from 1 species
AUUGAACGCUGGCGGCAGGCCUAACACAUGCAAGUCGAGCGGAGCGGCGGACGGGUGAGUAAUGCCUAGGCAUCUGCCUGGUAGUGGGGGAUAACGUCCGGCAACGGGCGCUAAUACCGCAUACUUUCAGUUGAGCCUAGGUCGGAUUAGCUAGUUGGGGGGGUAAAGGGCUACCAAGGCGACGAUCCGUACCUGGUCCGAGAGGAGGAUCAGGCACACGGGAACUGAGACACGGCCCAGACUCCUACGGGAGGCAGCAGUGGGGAAUAGUGGGCAAAUGGCGAAAGCCUGAUCCAGCCAUGCCGCGGGAGGGAUGACGGCCUUCGGGUUGUAAAGCUCUGUUAAUCGGGACGCGGUACCGGAAUAGAAAGCCACGGCUAACUACGUGCCAGCAGCCGCGGUAAUAC